rnacentral:lncRNA from 1 species
CUGCAGCAGACCAGUAUUCAUGGGUCAAGAAGAGAACCUAGGGACAUCCAGAAAGAAACGCCUAUAAAAUUAGAAAAAAAAAAAAUUGAAUGUGUUUCCUAGAAGCCAAGGGAAGGAUAUUUUAGGGAGGGAAUGACCAGCUGGGACGCACAGAUGUCAGUGUACGGGGCUGGAAGGGACACACUAUGGCUGCACACAAAAGCUUACAGGAAGAUAACCUUGUAAGUCUAUAAGGUUAGGGAAACAAGCUCUCCAGGUAUGUGAGCAUUCACACGUGUGCAUUCACACCAUGUACACAUGGUCUUCCUUUGGGGCCUGAGAAGAGUUGGGAUUAGAGUCUGCAUCGAGGUACAGAGAAUAGGUUUGGGGACACAAAUUUCAUUUUUGACAAAACCUUUUUGAUGGAAUUACAGAACAUGAGCGGGGCUGGAGACAUGGCCUCGUACAAAAAGAGGAGGGGAAAACCCCAGAGAUGGCUAGUGUCAACGUUUUUCAUGAAUUUUGCUGAGAAGUGACAGAAAUGGGUGGACCAGAGAUGGAUGUAGACCCCCCAAAACCGGGGCUCUGGGUUAACAUGGGAGAAAUUCUAACAUUUCUGCAUAGGGGCAGUGGAAAGAGAAAACUGAUAAUGUGAGAGGGAGACAUUCCAGACAUUGCGGAGCUGACAAACUUACAUGGCACCUGAAGCAGUGGGGAGAGGCUGAUAGACGGAAGUUCUUCUGGUGGCUUCCAUUGUCUUUGUGAAAUGGGAAACUGAGACUACGGGAUGGAGACUGGAAAGGAGUGAAAGGGUUCCCCAGAAGAGUGGCUGGGCGAGGGGUUCAUUUUUGUACCCCUUGAGAGGCUUCUUGGUGCUCAAGAGUUUGGACAUGCUGGCAGGUUCAGAGCACACUGUUGGUUCAGAUUUGGAAUAGUCCAGAAGUCUCUGAGAGCAGUCCCUAUAGAGGUCUUCUAAUUGGUUUCUUGGAAUUCCACCGGUCUGAGUCAUUUUCCUGUAAAACCAGUGUGGUCAUGGCAGGUAUACCUUUUCUUUAACG